UUGGUUAAGUUAGAAAGGGCGCACGGUGGAUGCCUUGGCACUAGGAGCCGAAGAAGGACGGGACUAACACCGAUAUGCUUUGGGGAGCUGUACGUAAGCGUUGAUCCAGAGAUUUCCGAAUGGGGGAACCCACUAUCUUUAGUCGGAUAGUAUCCUUACGUGAAUACAUAGCGUGAGGAAGGCAGACCCAGGGAACUGAAACAUCUAAGUACCUGGAGGAAGAGAAAGAAAAAUCGAUUUCCUGAGUAGCGGCGAGCGAAACGGAAAGAGCCCAAACCAAGAAGCUUGCUUCUUGGGGUUGUAGGACACUCUAUACGGAGUUACAAAAGAAAGUUAUAAAUGAAGCGGUCUGGAAAGGCCCGCCAAAGACGGUAACAGCCCGGUAGUUGAAAUAGCUUUCCCUCCAGAGUGGAUCCUGAGUACGGCGGAACACGUGAAAUUCCGUCGGAAUCCGGGAGGACCAUCUCCCAAGGCUAAAUACUCCCUAGUGACCGAUAGUGAACCAGUACCGUGAGGGAAAGGUGAAAAGCACCCCGGAAGGGGAGUGAAACAGUUCCUGAAACCGUGUGCCUACAAGUAGUUAGAGCCCGUUAAUGGGUGAUAGCGUGCCUUUUGUAGAAUGAACCGGCGAGUUACGAUUUGUUGCAAGGUUAAGCGGAAAAAGCGGAGCCGUAGCGAAAGCGAGUCUGAAUAGGGCGCAUAAGUAACAGGUCGUAGACCCGAAACCAGGUGAUCUACCCAUGUCCAGGAUGAAGGUAAGGUAAUACUUACUGGAGGUCCGAACCCACGCACGUUGAAAAGUGCGGGGAUGAGGUGUGGGUAGCGGAGAAAUUCCAAUCGAACUUGGAGAUAGCUGGUUCUCUCCGAAAUAGCUUUAGGGCUAGCCUCGAGGUAAAGAGUCAUGGAGGUAGAGCACUGUUUGGACUAGGGGCCCUUCUCGGGUUACCGAAUUCAGAUAAACUCCGAAUGCCAUGUACUUAUACUCGGGAGUCAGACUGCGAGUGAUAAGAUCCGUAGUCGAAAGGGAAACAGCCCAGACCACCAGUUAAGGUCCCCAAAUAUAUGUUAAGUGGAAAAGGAUGUGGGGUUGCUUAGACAACCAGGAUGUUGGCUUAGAAGCAGCCACCAUUGAAAGAGUGCGUAAUAGCUCACUGGUCGAGUGACCCCGCGCCGAAAAUGUACCGGGGCUAAACAUAUUACCGAAACUGUGGAUGAACCUCUUUAGAGGUUCGUGGUAGGAGAGCGUUCUAAGGGCGGUGAAGUCAGACCGGAAGGACUGGUGGAGCGCUUAGAAGUGAGAAUGCCGGUAUGAGUAGCGAAAGAAGGGUGAGAAUCCCUUCCACCGAAUAUCUAAGGUUUCCUGAGGAAGGCUCGUCCGCUCAGGGUUAGUCGGGACCUAAGCCGAGG
rnacentral:rRNA from 1 species